AACAUCACAUUUCUCAGUUAUCUUUACUGUUCUGCAUGCAAACUCAGGUGCCAUGUACCCUAGAGCACUCUGAAUCUUACUGCUUAAAACAUAGCGGUCUAGCAUCGGUAACAAUCUUGCCAAGCCAAAAUCUCCCACUUUUGGUUCACCCGAACUGUCAAUAAGGACAUUACUUGAUUUUAUAUUGUAGUGGAUGAUGUUUGAUUGGUGCAAAUGAGCCAGGCUUUUCGCUGUCCCAAGAAUUAUAUUGAACCUCUCGUUCCAUGAAAGAAAAUUUCCAACUGAUCCCUCAUGGAGAUGCUUGUACAAACUCCCUCCAGAGACAAAUUCAUAUAUCAAAAGCUGUAAGGAUGGUGUCCAGUAAUAACCUUCAAGUGCCACAAGAUUUUGGUGCCUAACUUUUCCCAAUUUCUUAACCUCCCUCUCAAAAUCUUCUUGGGACUUGACAAGACUUGAGACAGUGAGCUUCUUGAUGGCCACUGGAUGCCCAUCUUGAAGAACAGUCCGAUAGACUGCUCCGAACCCACCACGUCCAAGUUCACAAUCCUUGUUAAGCAGAGCAUGCGCUCCUGUGCUGAAGUUGGGAUCACCUGAGAACAUGACGAGCUUGCCAGAAUUAGCAUCAGUGGUGGGGGAAUGGCUAAAGUCAUCACCUGCAGAUAAUGUCUGGGCAGCUGCAGAUUGUGACGUUGAGCGAACACGGAGGUUGAGCACAGUGAUAGCAAUAACUCCAACAACAAUGACAGCAGCUGCACCAAUGGCAAUAAGAGCAGAUAUGCUUAGGAUGAUUCUUUUGUGACCAAGGUUUUCAGGAAGCACGUCAGGAGCAGAGUCAGAAGAAGAGUUCGGAUUGAGAACAAUGGGUUUGGGAAGGACUGCAGGGCAAGACUUGUUGACCGCAGCACCACAGAGGGAUGGAUUGCCAAUGACAGAAAAAGGCGAUAUGGUGUUGAAGAAACCACCAGCAGGUAGUUCACCUUGCAACUGGUUAUGGGAAAUGUUGAAGGAGGAGAGGUUCGGAAGAUUAGCCAACUGCUUGGGUAAGCCACCAGUGAGGCUGUUAAAAGACAAGUCAACAUCUUGUAGGCUUGUAAGUUUUGCUAUUGCGGCAGGUAUUGGUCCAGUCAAGUUGUUUUGAGAUAGGAUCCUAUGAGAUCAAUAGGAAAGAAACAAACAAACAAUAAAGAAAUAUUCAUUAGAAUGAAGACAUCACACCUUCUUUCACCAAAAUACACUUUUUUGGCAAAAUGGCAACAAACGGCAACAACCGUCAAAGCAUCAAGGAACUUUUCUUGUUUCUUAAUUUAGAUAUCAAGCAAUAACCCCAGAAAAUAGAAUCGUCUCAUUCAUUUAAGUUGUAAGGAACUCUAAAUUUCAAAUCCUAACAACUAAUUUGACAAAAAGAUACCAUGGUGCAUGCAACUAUACUUUUAAGGAGUAGAUGUUUCUUCAAUAUGUCAAAUCUUCAAAAGAAGGCAUCAACUUUCACUGCAGAGGGAUUAAGUUAUCUACUACAGCAACUGUUAUGGUUUACCACGAAUUUGAGGAUGCAAACACAGGAAGCGACCUAAGCAGUGUUCACGAUCAUUAACUAAGUUUGGCCUAAAAAAUUUAAUAAUGAACGAGAAAGCAAAAAUAAGAAAAGGGAAAAAGAGACGUAACAAAGAGAGCUUACAAAGUUGUUAGUGAAGAACAGUUCCCAAUCGAGCUAGGAAUUUGCCCUGUCAGUAAGUUCCUCUCCAGCCUCAGUUCCUUCAAAGAAAAGGCUCCUCCAAAUUCCAGAGGAAUGCUCCCAUUUAGCCUAUUCUCACUCAAAUCAAGAAUAUAUAAUUCCUUCAACUCUCCAAUGGUCCCUGGAAUAGGACCCACAAGAGAGUUCACUGAUAGAUUCAAGAACUGCAAGCUGCUCAAAACCUCAAUAGAGGAUGAAAAUUUUCCAGAGAACUUGUUAGCUGAUAAAUCUAAAACUUGAAGCUUUGGAAGUGAGUUCAAACGCCCAAGCUUAUUCCCCGAAUGAAUAACUUUCUCCGAACCCAAGCCAAAAAUCCAUGCAGGAAGGUCACCACUCAUUGAAUUCCUGCUGAAAUCUAAAGCCAAAAGGUUUCCACAAUUGGCCAUAGAUUCUGGCAAGUUCCCACUUAAACCAUUACCAGAUAAAUUCAAUACCGCAAGUGACUGAAGAUUCCCGAUUGAAUUUGGAACCUGACCAGAGAAUCUAUUCCCAGAAAGAUCUAAAGUCUCAAGGCCUUUCAUUUCUCCAAUCCAGCUUGGAAAUUCACCAGCUAACAGGUUGUUCCUCAAGCUCAGAUAAUUACACAAGCUAAGCUUCUGCAUUGUCUCUGGAAGGUACCCAGAAAUCGAAUUAUCACUUAAAUCAAUAGACCUCAAUAACGAGCAGCUUCCUAUCCCUCCAGGAAACUCCCCAGUAAACUGAUUUUUACUCAAGUUAAUAGCUCUCAAAUUGUUCAUAACUUCAAUCCCUUUAGGAAUCUCACCUUCUAACAAAUUAUCAGACAAAUCAAGCGACCUGAGCCCACUCAAAUCCCAAAUCCCGGCAGGUAAAGACCCUGAAAACUGAUUCGAACUCAAAUUUAUAGAUGCAAGAGUAGCACAUGAACUCAAAGAACCUGGAAUCUUCCCUGAAAACUUGUUCUUGGCCAAAGAAAUUGAUCUUAGAGACCCACAUUGCUUAAAAAAGUCAUCUGGGAUCGACCCAGAAAAACUGUUCUCGCUCAAAUCAAUGAUUCUAAGGUUUUCAAGGCGAGCAAGACUGGGGCCAAUGCUGCCAGUGAGGUUGUUUCUUGCUAAUGAGAGCUUGUGGAGGAACUGAAGCUGUAAGAGGCCACGUCCAAUCCGACCCGAAAGAGAGAAGCCGUCGAGAGUGAGCUCGGUAACCCUGUUGGAUCUCGGGUUGCAUUUGACUGCGACCCAGUUGCAGGGAGUAUCAUCAUCUUGGUUCCAAGACGAAAGCUUUGCCUUUGGAUCUUGAAGGUCUGCUUUGAACACAAUUAGACCCAACACAUCGUCAUUAAGCGACGGGUUUAGAGAUCCCACACGCUGUGAAACAAAAACCAGAAAAGUUAAUAAGCUUAUUAAGAGCUCCUUUUUGUUCACCAUUGUAAGCUUCAUUUUAUGCUUUAACAAGGAAGCCAAAGAAUCACUUCAAACCCAUUGAAGUUUAGCUAAAAAUAAGUAAAAAAAAAUGAAGAAGAACAAUAGAAGCUAAAAACGAUUGAUUGUUGGGUUCAAAAGCUAUACUCACUACUACUCUACCAAUAAUUUCAAAGCAAAAAUGGAAAAUGUCAAAAAGGGUUCUCCUUUUUCUUUUUAGCUGCUAGAUUUGGACCAGAGAUACACCAAGAAGAGACAAAGAAGGGACUAAAACUACACCAAAAAGACAACUUUUACACUUAGCUAAAUGAAUGAGACACCAAAAUGAAGCUCAAGUGAUAGAAUGAGCAAGAAGGUUUAUGGUUUUCUCAAUAAGAGGGAAGUGUGAAAACCCCAGAAAUUUCUGCAGAAACAAAGUUUUGGCCUUUUGGGGGGUUUAAAGAACUUGAAAAACAAGCCUCGAUCUGAGACUUAUAAAUUAAGAUCCAAACACCAUGGCAUUUCAAGCCCUGUUGGAAACUGAAAUGGUUGGCUGAAGUCCGGUGAAAGAAGUUAGGUUUCCGGUGAGAGUCGCCGGUAAGUAUGAGCAAGUUUAGGAUAUCAGAUACU
rnacentral:misc_RNA from 1 species